rnacentral:rRNA from 1 species
CCUACGGGAGGCAGCAGUGGGGAAUAUUGGACAAUGGGGGCAACCCUGAUCCAGCCAUGCCGCGUGUGUGAAGAAGGCCCUCGGGUUGUAAAGCACUUUCAGUGAGGAAGAACGCCUGGUGGUUAAUACCCAUCAGGAAAGACAUCACUCACAGAAGAAGCACCGGCUAACUCCGUGCCAGCAGCCGCGGUAAUACGGAGGGUGCGAGCGUUAAUCGGAAUUAUUGGGCGUAAAGCGCGCGUAGGUGGCUUGAUAAGCCGGUUGUGAAAGCCCCGGGCUCAACCUGGGAACGGCAUCCGGAACUGUCAAGCUAGAGUGCAGGAGAGGAAGGUAGAAUUCCCGGUGUAGCGGUGAAAUGCGUAGAGAUCGGGAGGAAUACCAGUGGCGAAGGCGGCCUUCUGGACUGACACUGACACUGAGGUGCGAAAGCGUGGGUAGCAAACAGGAUUAGAUACCCGAGUAGUC